UACGGAGGAGGCAAGCGUUAUCCGGAAUUAUUGGGCGUAAAGCGUCCGUAGAUGGUUUUGUCAGUCUGCUGUCAAAGCGCAGGGCUUAACCCUGUAAAGGCAGUGGAAACUACAAGACUAGAGUGCAGUAGGGGCAGAGGGAAUUCCCAGUGUAGCGGUGAAAUGCGUAGAGAUCAGGAAGAACACCGGUGGCGAAAGCGCUCUGCUAGGCCGUAACUGACACUGAGGGACGAAAGCUAGGGGAGCGAAUGGG
rnacentral:rRNA from 1 species